rnacentral:tRNA from 1 species
AGGGGCAUAGCUCAAUUGGUAGAGUGGCGGUCUCCAAAACCGUAGGCUGCGGGUUCGAGUCCUGCUGCCCCUG